AGUGAACGCUGGCGGUAGGCCUAACACAUGCAAGUCGAACGGCAGCACAGUAAGAGCUUGCUCUUACGGGUGGCGAGUGGCGGACGGGUGAGGAAUACAUCGGAAUCUACUUUUUCGUGGGGGAUAACGUAGGGAAACUUACGCUAAUACCGCAUACGACCUACGGGUGAAAGCAGGGGAUCUUCGGACCUUGCGCGAUUGAAUGAGCCGAUGUCGGAUUAGCUAGUUGGCGGGGUAAAGGCCCACCAAGGCGACGAUCCGUAGCUGGUCUGAGAGGAUGAUCAGCCACACUGGAACUGAGACACGGUCCAGACUCCUACGGGAGGCAGCAGUGGGGAAUAUUGGACAAUGGGCGCAAGCCUGAUCCAGCAAUACCGCGUGGGUGAAGAAGGCCUUCGGGUUGUAAAGCCCUUUUGUUGGGAAAGAAAAGCAGCAGGUUAAUACCCCGCUGUUCUGACAGUACCCAAAGAAUAAGCACCGGCUAACUUCGUG
rnacentral:rRNA from 1 species